rnacentral:tRNA from 1 species
UGGCUCAGAGGUUAAAGCAUCUGCCUGCAACGCGGGAGACCAGGGUUCGAUCCCUG